CGUGGCGUUAUUUCUACAUAAUCAAAGGAAAAUUGCGUUAUAAAUACGACAUGUAAUCACGUGCACACAUUGAAAACAUUUACAAUACUGCGCUUAAAAGAAAUCUUGUCCUUCAUAAGUGGAAUCGAACUGUGCUGUCGGCUGGCGAUAAAAAAGCGCCCGUUUUGUUGUUCAGAAGACCACCGAGAGGAACGUUUGUUCUUUUCCGGCUCCGACACGUCGUAAGAUACUCGAAGACGAGCAAGUCUUCUUCAUAGAAAUUUUAUGACCCCUGCGCCACCGGCCAUCUGUUCCUGCCACGGUCGUCUGCUUUGCUAGAUGCUCCUGUUUUCCUUACAAUCGGAAAAACGGGGAAAGAAAAAUAUUUGCGAUAUUAUUCUUCGACGCGCAAGAACGCGUUUUUGAUAGGACGCGGAAGAGCGAGCUAAUGGAAUAUCGGCUGGCGUUUCUCGAGUGCGAAGGUGCAUGCGAAAAAGCAAUUUUCGGCCGUUUUCCGGAAUGGGAGUAAGCCGUGAUGAGACUGAUUCGGAUCUAGUCAGAGCGGUGGAACAAACGAUCCUAAGUAUGUUAAGCGCAUUUCAAUACGAUACCGGGAUCGUCAGUAAUCGAAUCUUCUGUUCGUUUAAGCGAUUUUCCGCCUUCCGCCGCAUUCGCAUCCUCGCGCAAUUAGAUAUGUUAAGCGUCGCAAAAUUAUCUCUCUGCGAUCUAGGGA